CCGGGCCAACGUCCCACACCGGGGCGGGGCUCCCGCGGCGGCCGCUUUCAAACCGCGGCAUCGAAUCGGUACUUUAUACCAGCACUAAACCAAGUAUUUCCAUUUGCUAUGCGCACGGCCAGAAAAUUGUAUUAUUACAACUGAAUAGAUUGACUUUGACCCCAGUGGUCAGCGACAAAGAGGCAAAGUCUCUCUGCAAAUCCCAUGAACUGUGCUGAGAACCUGAAUCCCCCGGACCAAACAGCAGCAGACGUCAGCACGACUGAAACGGGCACCGUUCUCAGGUUCGUCCUUUCAGCUAAAAGCUUGCCGAGUUCUGUGAUAACCUGGCAAAGGAAAGUGGACCAGAGGAAUGUUGGAGGACGGGGCCGACGAGCAAGCUCUCCCGCUUCAUCACUGUGUUCAGGCACAUCGGCGAGAUGGAUGUUUCUAGAAGGUCAUUGGCCGCCCAGAAACCUGAUUCAGCCCCAGCACUGACGUGAUAAAGAAGGCGUUUAUUAACGUAUGAGACAAAGCAGAGGCCAGCAGCGGGACAUUGCCCUCCCGACCAGCCCUACAGCUAGACCGAGAUUUUCUGCUUCUUACAGCAUUACCAGUGACAGGCCAAGCGCGUCCCGGCCAUUGAAUGUAGCUACCCGAGUGAAUGAAGAAGAAUUUAAACUCUUACACUGAAAAGAAACGGACGGUAAUGUGAUUUUGGACAUGCAUCUAUUAUCUUUAUCUUUUCUAUUCAUUUUUUAUGCAUCGAAAUAAGAAAACAUAUGAAAUAAGCCUACUACAGUUUUAUUGUUUUUGUCCUUAUUAGUUUUCUUUUAAAAACGCUCUUGUUUGUCAAGACCAUCGAUAUUUUCAGAGAUUUUUCCUAAAAUGUAAACGUAUUAUUGAUACUGUUUUUUUAUGACACGAUGUCCAGUUUACUGGAAAUGUACCUUUAAGACUAUGACGUGACCUUUGAAUCCACUGAUAUUGUUCUAUAGACACAAACUAAUAUCACCCUAAGAUCCGCACAAGAUCCGUGUGGGACGCCAGUUCUUACAUCAUGAACAAUUUAGAUAUGAAAACUGACCUAGCCUUGCACCCAGAGUAUGAGGAGAAGACCCAUGAAACAUGACGAGACCAUGCGAACUCUAAACUUGUGGAGACGGGAAUCGGAGUCUAGCGUCAGCGGCGCGAGGCGGCAGAGCGACCUACCGCCCAUCCUGGAGAAUGAAGCCUUAAAUAUAUGCUACUCCCAAGAUCACCACUAGGUGGCAAGCAUUAUCCUGUCAAUAUAGGGAUUAUAGCUUGUAUUUAAUGUUGUGAUUUAAGACAGUUCGUUUGCUUUACGUCAUAUUUUACACGUUUA